rnacentral:lncRNA from 1 species
AAAACUAUAAAUGAAUGAUUCAUAUUAUAUAUAAAUGGGUAACAAGUGAAAUUACAUAAUCAAGAUCAAUAUUAUUUGUAUUUGGCAUAUUCACAUUGUAAUAUGGUAUAUUAUAUGUAAUUAAAUUCAAUAAUUUUCUUUUCCAUCACCAAAUUUUAGGUUUCUUCAUCACUAAGUAACAAAGUUAAACCACUAUAAAUUAAUGAUUCAUAUUAUAUAUAAAUGGUUAACAACUGAAAUUACAUAAUAAAGCUCAAUAUUAUUUUUAUUCCUUAUAUUCACAUUAUAUUAUGGUAUAUUAUAUGUUAAAAAGAAUUUAAUAUUUUUUUUCUCCAUCACCAAAUUUUAGGUUUCUUCAUUACUAAGCAACAAAGUUAAAAAAACUAUAAAUGAAUGAUUCAUAUUAUAUAUAAAUAGGUAACAAGU